rnacentral:rRNA from 1 species
UACGAGUGCCCCGAGCGUUAUCCGGAAUUACUGGGCGUAAAGGGUGUGUAGGCGGCGUGAUUAGUCGGUUGUUAAAGCUCCUGGCUUAACUGGGAAAAGGCAACCGAAACGGUCACACUAGAGGAGGCGAGGGGUCUAUGGAACUCAUGGUGUAGGGGUGAAAUCCGUUGAUAUCAUGGGGAACACCAAAAGCGAAGGCAGUAGACUGGCGCCUAACUGACGCUGAAACACGAAAGCGUGGGGAUCAAACGGG